UACGUAGGGGGCUAGCGUUGUCCGGAAUCAUUGGGCGUAAAGAGCUCGUAGGCGGUUUGUCGCGUCUGCCGUGAAAGUCCGGGGCUCAACUCCGGAUCUGCGGUGGGUACGGGCAGACUAGAGUGAUGUAGGGGAGACUGGAAUUCCUGGUGUAGCGGUGAAAUGCGCAGAUAUCAGGAGGAACACCGGUGGCGAAGGCGGGUCUCUGGGCCGAUACUGACGCUGAGGAGCGAAAGCGUGGGGAGCGAACAGG
rnacentral:rRNA from 1 species